rnacentral:rRNA from 1 species
AUUGAACGCUGGCGGCAGGCCUAACACAUGCAAGUCGAGCGAGCGGCGGACGGGUGAGUAAUGUCUGGGGAUCUGCCCGAUAGAGGGGGAUAACUACUGGAAACGGUGGCUAAUACCGCAUACCAUCGGAUUAACCCAUAUGGGAUUAGCUAGUAGGUGGGGUAACGGCUCACCUAGGCGACGCUCCCUAGCUGGUCUGAGAGGAUGAUCAGCCACACUGGAAAUGAGACACGGGCCAGACUACUACGGGAGGCAGCAGUGGGGAAUAUUGCACAAUGGGCGCAAGCCUGAUGCAGCCAUGCCGCGUGUAUGAAGAAAGCCUUAGGGUUGUAAAGUACUUUCAGCGGGGAGGCGUUACCCGCAGAAGAAGCACCGGCUAACUCCGUGCCAGCAGCCGCGGUAAUUA